UUGGAAAAAGAGUAUUGGCAUUACAUUUAUAGCUACAGGUUUACUACAGCUUAUAAUUUGCAAGAAAGUGUCGGUGAAUCAUCUCCCAGGUCGGCAAAUAAAAGCCUCUUCAUAUUACUGUCUUAAAAACAAAUUAACAGAAAGAUCAAAGACACAUAAAAUUCCAUAAGAUAACAUGGCCAAGGAAAGAAACUCAAAUUCAACACUCAAGCAGGCGCUGGAAAAAGAAAAGGAUGAUUAGGUGAAAUUAGAUGAGUAGAGGAGAUGAUGAGCAUGUGCAAAGCUGGUCCUACCAUUUUAAGUUAGGAAGACCAAAUGGUUCCAAGGGGACUCUCUCUCCCUCCUCAAUUCACAAAAUUUCAGGUCUUCUUGUACCAUUCUAGAUCAGCAAUGUCCAUGUUGUGCUGUUGUUGCUGCGAAGAAUCAAAUAUUAAUUUUGGAUUGGAUGUUACUUUCCUGAGGAUCCAAAAGAAUAUAGCACAAAGAGGAAAAUAAUUUUGGCUCGAGAAAACAUAGUGGCAAUCUUUUGAUCAUCCAAUUUUGUUGCUUGUGAAGUAAUUCUUCAGGAUUUUUUAAUGAGCAGGAAAUCAUAAAUUGCUAAGAAUAUAUGCAAUUUCAGUUAUGUGCACAAAAUGUAUUCAUUACGCAAGAUUCAGUUACCUGAAUCCUUUGAUCUCCAA